GCCAGCCCAAGCAGGAAGUUGUAAGCCACUUCCUGUUCUCCUGCUGGACGGCGCAUGAGCCUCUAGCGCUAGAGAUUGUUUCCAGCCGCGCAGGUCCCUCCAUAACGCUAUUAUCACAGAUAUCUCAGGGCGACGGGCGAUUUAACCCUGCGAUGGGGCAGUAAGAAUGUCUUAUACAGCACAAGUCUCAUCUCGUGGAUAACAGAAUAGAUACAUUCCGUUACAUUAAAGUGCGUCUCACAUUCUUUUUUAUUCCUUUUGAGUCUACGGAGGGAACGCAGGCGCUGCUUAUCCAGGUGCUUCGAUUAUUUUUGGUUUUGGGCCACGUCUUGCUUGUUAAAAAUCGGUACAAAUUAAACGAGAAGCAGACCGACGAGCUGAAGAGACCACUUUGCUCUCUUUAAGUUGGGUAAUUCUGAGUAUUGGGGAGGAAAAAACAAUCUUGAUAUCCCGAAGGGAGAUAAGCACAUUAUCAUGGAUGUUUAGCGGCGUCCCCUAUAUAUUCUGAGAAUAUAGCGACGGGGCAGUUUGUGCGCCGGCCGGGGACUUUUUUUUUCCGCUGCUGUCCUUGAUGUAUAUUCUGUGUAUAAAUGAAAGGACACGCGGCUUAUAAUGGAAGGAAAAGCCAGCACGUCUCGCCUCGCUGGGAAUCAAUGAACGCCAAGCUCAGCCGAAGACAAAGUCAGGAAGUUAGUAUUUAAAUGUAUGUAAUAACUAAUCUAUGAAUU